CACUCCUAAUUUGUCUGCAUGCAAGGAGAACCAGACUUAAGGUAGGAUCCACUCAUUUACUGACUGAUUGCUUAUUGAAUGCCUUCUCUGUGCUGGACAGUAGGAGUAAGAUGAGGAGCACUGUGGACUUUGUCCCUGCCCUCAUACAUUUAUGAUAAGGGGUUGUGGGGUCAGGGCAUGGAAAAAACAAAAGGCAAAUCUUUAAGACAAACUGAUUGGAAACGACUGCUAUUGGUUAAAUACACCCACAUGUUGAGAUAAUUUGUACUUUCCCAAAACAUUAUCUUGAUAACAUUAUAGUCCCAGAAAGCGUUAGGGAAUGUAGUAAUGAAACUUUGGCAGGUCUUGUGCCUCUACAAUGUUUGUGUUGCUCAUGACCUUUGUACAUGAAUGCUUUUGCCCAUGUGGCCAGUCAAAAAAUGACCUGGUUGACCUGUUUUUCCAAAAGACCUUUGACCAAAUCUUUGAUGGACAAACAGAGAAUCAUGUUUUCAAGAAGGAUCUACUUGCAAGCAAAGUUCUAUAGUGUAGUCAGGGAAGGCUCUAUGAAGUAAUGAACUCUUCUGGCAAAGAUCUGAAGGAUGAGUAGAAAAUAGUCUGGUCAUGAGCUAGGGGAAGUGAUUUACAGGCAGGAGUAACAUGUGGAAUACAGAAUAAUUUGACUUUAAUAAAUUUCAAAUGGUAAAAAUUUUCCAAAGUUCAAAAUAGAAACAUAACAUCCCGUGAUAUUAGAAAAUCUCAUUACUUUACUUUAGUCUGGCCAGAAAUGUGUCAAGAGGAAGACUUCAAAGAGGUAGAUUUCAUCUCUCUGGCCUGUAAACAAAAUGCCCAAAACACUUCCCCAAGGCUUAAAGUCAGUUUGUAAUUACUCUUUUCAUCACCUCAGAAGAAUUUCCAAACUUUAGUAACGUAGUAAAAUUUUUUUUGGCCUUUGUGAAUAAAUACUAUGAAAUUUGGUUCAAAAGAUAAAGCAAAGAGCAACUGAGGUCUUCAAAACAUCAUGUAUCUAGAAGAUCACAUCUUUCUCUCACCCAGAUUGCCUAAUUUUUGAACUUUUAAAGAGCAGAGUACUGCUUUCAGUGCUAUUUAGUCAUUUCCCACAGCUCUUCAUCCCUUUAGAGUAGCUUUUAUAGUUACUUGGGCCAUUUUGGGUAGUGGACAUUGGAUUACUAUUUUUGUUCAACCAAAUAAAUGGAAGGCUUCUUAGUAUUAUUAAUGCUCAAAACAUGCAACCCACACUCCUAUUAUGCAAUUGAAUAUUGUUUUGAAGUCAUCCUGUAAUUACAAGAUUUCCUUCCAAAUCAGACAAUAGGUCUGAAAGUAGUAAUUUUGACCUAAAUAUGUGCAAGAGCUUGAAGGGCUUCUUAUAAAAACUAAGAGGAAGACCAAGUUUAGUGGAAAAACACCCAGGCUAGGAUUUGGGAGACCUGGGUCCCACUGACAUCUCUGCCAAUUAUUGGCUCUCCAAGUCCCCCUUUGGUUGGGUAAUGGGGCCGUCCAUCCUAACUCACUCUAUUAUGUGGAAUAUAAAUAUGGGAAUCACAAUGAAAACUGUAAAAUUAUAUUACAUCUAAAAGGCUGCCAUGUUUUCUUAAACACUGGUUAAUUAUGGUGAGGAAACCGAGAGAGGCAGAGAGGUUAAUAAACUUGUCCCCAGAGUAACAUGUAAGAAAAUGAUAGAGAUAGGACAUAUCAUGAAGCAAUUUCCAAAGCGUAUCUGGCAUAUACCAGCUUCGCUUCCAGAGACAUCUACCUGACCAGAGGUAGAGCAGUAGUUUACACUUCUUCACUUGUUCAGACAAUAAAGAAAAUGGGUUUUGAGGAAGCCCUGUAUGCCUUUCUAAAAGUGCUUUCUAAGACAGAGUACAUAUUUCCUGAUCUUCUGUAUAUCCGUCAUCAAACUCAACUGUCAUCUUCUUAAUGCCAGGUAGAUACUAAACCACAAAUCCUCCAAAACAACUGGGCAGAAAGUAGAAGACAAUCAGCAGCAUUCACUGCUUUCUAAGAAGGCAAUUCCCAGGAAUACAGUCCUGAAGGUUUAAGUUGAAAAAGAAACUUGAUCUUAGUAGGUGAGUCCAAACACACUUUCCAAGGAACAGAAAAUCCCUAUAUUACUUUAGUUGUAUCAGAAAAUAAAAGAUAAGAAAAAGUUGCCCAACUCAUUUCAUUCUAAAAGUGGAUUGAAUAGGUAUAAUAAAUAAAAGUAAAUUAUAGACCAAUGUUUAAGACAUAGGUACAAAAAUCCCAGACUUUAUAUUAUUUAAAAGUAAUUACAGCAAUAUGUAUAGGAAUUAAUACAUCAUUAUCAAGUUCAAUUUAUUCCAGUGCCUGCUGAAAGGUCAUCUUUUUAAGAUGAUUUCUCUGAUAAUUUUAUCUGAAAAGUGACCACCCAUCCUACUUGUCACUAUCUUCUUCCUUGUUUUUUUUUCUUUAUAACCUUCAUCAUGACUUUACAUUUUAAAUUUUUAAUUUUUUCCCUUCUCUCCUUUUUUUUUUGAGAUAAAGUCUUGCUCUGUUGUCUAGGCUGGAGUGCAGUGGCACAGUCAUAGAUCACUGCAGGGUAAUUUUAAAUUUUUUGUAGAGGUAGGGUCUUGUUACAUUGCCCAGG
rnacentral:lncRNA from 1 species